GAAAUGCGAUAACUAGUGUGAAUUGCAGAAUUCCGUGAAUCAUCGAGUCUUUGAACGCACAUUGCGCCCCCUGGUAUUCCGGGGGGCAUGCCUGUCCGAGCGUCAUUGCUGCCCAUCAAGCACGGCUUGUGUGUUGGGUCGUCGUCCCCUCUCCGGGGGGGACGGGCCCCAAAGGCAGCGGCGGCACCGCGUCCGAUCCUCGAGCGUAUGGGGCUUUGUCACCCGCUCUGUAGGCCCGGCCGGCGCUUGCCGAACGCAAAUCAAUCUUUUCCCAGGUUGACCUCGGAUCAGGUAGGGAUACCCGCUGAACUUAAGC
rnacentral:misc_RNA from 1 species